ensembl:snoRNA
AGUAGUACUUGUGUUUUUGUCUAACUUGUGAACUAAGACUCACAGAGAAUCACAAAAAAUAAAUGCUCUUUUGCAAGCCAGAACUCACUGUUCACCAUGAGUCUUGAUACAUGUAAGAAGGAAUACA